rnacentral:rRNA from 1 species
AAUCAACGCUGGCGGCGUGCCUAACACAUGCAAGUCGAACGAGAAAGUGGAGCAAUCCAUGAGUAAAGUGGCGCACGGGUGAGUAACACGUGACUAACCUACCCUUGAGUGGGGGAUAACCUAGGGAAACCUGGGCUAAUACCGCAUAAUAUCGAGAGAUCAAAGGAGCAAUUCGCUUAAGGAGGGGGUCGCGGCUGAUUAGCUAGUUGGUGGGGUAAUGGCCCACCAAGGCNGUGAUCAGUAUCCGGCCUGAGAGGGCGCACGGACACACUGGAACUGAAACACGGUCCAGACUCCUACGGGAGGCAGC